UGUCGCUGACCCUCAAAGGUCGUGCACGCUCGAGCGCUCUCACACAAUCCAUCUCACCUUUGUGCAUCACCGCGUGGGUCCCCUUUGCGGGAGGGCUUGCGUUUUCACAUAAAACUUGAUACAGUGUAGAAUGUUUCUUUUGCGGUCACACGCAAUCAAUACAACUUUCAACAACGGAUCUCUUGGCUCUCGCAUCGAUGAAGAACGCAGCGAAAUGCGAUACGUAAUGUGAAUUGCAGAAUUCAGUGAAUCAUCGAAUCUUUGAACGCACCUUGCGCCCCUUGGCAUUCCGAGGGGCACACCCGUUUGAGUGUCGUGAAAUCUUCAAAACCCUUUUUUCUUUGAACCACUUGUGGUCGGGAAAAGGAUUUUUGGACUUGGAGGUUUAAUGCUCGCCCUUUCUUUUGAAAGCGAGCUCCUCUCAAAUGAAUUAGUGGGGUCCGCUUUGCUGAUCCUUGACGUGAUAAAAUGUUUCUACGUUUUGGGUUUAGCACUGUCCCUUGGAUGCCUGCUCCUAACCGUCUCAUUGACAAUGAUGGUGCUCUGGUCACUGCCGUCUACGUCGGCGGGAGGCUGGACCCACAAAAAGAAAACCUUGACCUCAAAUCGGGUGAGACUAC
rnacentral:rRNA from 1 species